rnacentral:rRNA from 1 species
CUACGGGCCGCUCCAGUCGAGAAUCUUCCGCAAUGGACGAAAGUCUGACGGAGCGACGCCGCGUGCGGGAUGAAGGCCUUCGGGUUGUAAACCGCUGUCAGUGGGGAGGAAAUGCAUCAGGGUUCUCCCUGGUGUUUGACCGAUCCGCAGAGGAAGCGCAGGCUAAGUUCGUGCCAGCAGCCGCGGUAACACGAACUGCGCGAACGUUAUUCGGAAUCACUGGGCUUAAAGAGUUCGUAGGCGGCCUUUCAAGUCGGGUGUGAAAUCCCUCGACUCAACCGAGGAAUUGCGCCUGAUACUGUUGGGCUUGAGGGGGAUAGGGGUGAGCGGAACUGAUGGUGGAGCGGGGAAAUGCGUUGAUAUCAUCAGGAACACCGGUGGCGAAGGCGGCUCACUGGAUCUCUUCUGACGCUGAGGAACGAAAGCUAGGGGAGCGAACGGGAUUAGAUACCCGAGUAGUC